rnacentral:lncRNA from 1 species
AUGUGGCCUGACGUUACGCUCUCUGAGCCCAGCAGGGGGCGCCGUCUGAGCGCCGUGCGGCCGAGCUCAGGUGGAGCAGGUCGGGAGCAGCUGCCGAGGACAGGCUCCUCUCCAGAAAUGACCACGAGCAUAAGCAGGAGAGUUAGCAGCCUUCAGGUCCUGGCUGCGUGGGGGGAUUUCUCGCCUGGAGGACUUCAAAAGCUCACGAGGGCCAAAGGGAUUUACUUGGACCGGGCCGGGCCAGAGCAGCAGACGGGACAGUCUGGGCCGCUUCCACUGGGCAGAGACGGGUUUGGACCAGAGAGCAGACAGCGCUCCCAGGAUGAGGCCAAGGAACUCAUCUCUCCAAUCCAUUCAAGUCUCUCCAAAAAUAACAAUAUGUCAGAUGUUAGAAAGAUGCUUCCGAGAACAUUAAACUGGGCCGAGUGUGAGGAACCACGCAGAAUGUGUCUGGUAAUGAAUAGGAGCAGUUUCAGGCUGUGAUUCAGGCUUCACUCCCUCAGUUCUCACCUUUUCAUUGGUUCCACACGUUUUACUCUCAUGACUCAUGUUUGUUUGUCUUGUUUCAGCUCUGUUCACUGUUUCAUACAAGUGAUGAGUCUGCUUUGCUCAGUGACACAGUCAGUCUGAGUGAUUCCAUGUUGCAUUUGUCUCCAAAGCAGCUGCUGGAGGACAGAUGGACCAACUCCAGUCACAGGCUGAGGCUCAAGGGCACGAAUAUUAAAAACCAUGCAAAAGGUAACAAACAGCAUAUUUAUUCUCA